rnacentral:rRNA from 1 species
AUUGAACGCUGGCGGCAUGCCUUACACAUGCAAGUCGAACGGCAGCACGGGGGCAACCCUGGUGGCGAGUGGCGAACGGGUGAGUAAUGCAUCGGAACGUGCCCCGUAGCGGGGGAUAACCAGUCGAAAGACUGGCUAAUACCGCAUACGCUCCACGGAGGAAAGCAGGGGAUCGCAAGACCUUGCACUAUGGGAGCGGCCGAUGCCCGAUUAGCUAGUUGGUGAGGUAAAGGCUCACCAAGGCGACGAUCGGUAGCUGGUUUGAGAGAACGACCAGCCACACUGGGACUGAGACACGGCCCAGACUCCUACGGGAGGCAGCAGUGGGGAAUUUUGGACAAUGGGCGCAAGCCUGAUCCAGCAAUGCCGCGUGUGUGAAGAGGG